GGUUGGGCUCAGCCUUGGACCCUGGGUCAGCUGACUACCCGCCGCUGGCCUCCUUUCAAAAGCAUCCCCGAGAGCCUGCGGCUGCCCCUGAAAAGCCAGGCCAGCCCAGCGGGGACUCCCUGUUGCUCCCAAUCCCUCUGUCCCGUCUCUCAGCGUAUCCACCCCAGGGGUACUUAGUAUGGAAAGGGUGCCUCCAAUCCGUAGGGUGUUCUGAUGGAGUUAACUGAUCUUUGCAUAAAAUCUGCUGAGUCAUACACACACGUCCUCUGUCACAAUAGCUUAGGUGAUUUUUCUUGAUGCAAAGCUCUGAUUCCCACAGGAAUAGAAAAACAGAGAGAGAGAGGAAAAACAAAAAACAAAAAAACAAAAAACACAUCCCUCAAAGACUCCAGAAAGACAAAAACAAAAAUUAGCACUGCUUAGAAAGAAUUCAUAAAUCACUCUCACGUGGAAACCAAUCCCCUAUCUGAAAAGUCUCUCCAAUGGACAGAAAACCCAAGUGGGUUGACACACGUAUUAGAAUGGAUGGAAUGGUUCAUUUUCAACACGUUUUGGGAUUUCUUUUUUCAUUUUAAAUUUUCAGUUGAGAACAUCUUUUAUGACAGAAAUCCUAUGCAGCCCAUGGAUGGCGUUUGACAAGAACAAGGAGCUCAGUGAUCAGGGAGAUUCAGGGUUACCAUGGCCUUGCUCACCAUCCUGUUGUAAAGACAUCGUGACAUCGCAAAAACCUCCUCAUCCCAUUGUAAAGACAUCAAGAUAUUGCAAGAACAUCACCAUCUCAUUGUAAAGACAUCAUGACAUUGCAAGAACCUCAUCAUCCCAUUGUAAAGACAUCAUGACAUUGCAAGAACCUUUAUGGUCAAACCCAUGAACCCAGGUUUACAAGUGUGAGCUGAAUCAUUUCUACAUGCUUUGGAACUUGAUUCUGCCAUCACCUAGUCUGUGUCUCUGUCCCCAAAAAGGAAAAAGGAUUCUUGUGAGAAUGAUUUUUCAGAAUAAUGGACGUGAAAAGAGGUGGACAAUUAAGCAAUUUUCCAAUGUAGAUAAAACCACUGGACCAUUGACAGCCCUAAAGCUCUGAUUUUUCCUCAUGACUAAGUUUCUUUUCAUGUGGGGGCUUUCGACAUCUGAAUUUUCCAGAUGAUUGCAGAACCAUCUUCACUACACAGAAGUAGACAUUUUGGCAUUAUGAAAAAAUAAAGGCUGUCCACAGGAAUGCAAACAAAAAAGUCAAGAAGUAGGUCACUCAAGGAGCGAAUUUGGUUCUUGUGAUGGCAAACAUCUGGUUAUGUGGGGAAACCCGGGUGUUUGAAUCCUUAGUUUUUCAUUCUGUUGUCUGGUGUUGUAUAGACAGACAACAAAUGCUCAGGUGUUGUAGGUAAUGGAAUUUAACUUUCUUGUGCAUUAAUCGAUUGCCGGUGAUAUUCUGCUGCUAAAAAUCUCUUUGUGGUGCAAAGAGAACUAAAUAAUACAGAGCAAAUGCUAUUGGAUUUUGUGAUUGACUUUCAGCAAACAUGUGACCAGAAGAGGUUUGGGAGGCUGGCCCCUGUGUACUGAGAGGUGCUCAUAAGCACAGAGCCACUUCAGAGCAAAAGUUCUGGAGGCCUGCUUCCUGGUGCCUGCCUGGCCAAGAACCCUGUUAUUUAGCCAUUUUCCAUCUUUUAUGAUUGUAUAAUUGCUCCUCUGCUCUUCAUCCACUCUUAAUAACUCACAAAGUCUACAGGGUAGAAACAUUCAAGGGAAAUAAUCAUAUGUUAAUGUUUUAUUCUUCAAAUAGGAAGUUUCGAUUUUAAGGAUUUAUUUUACCUCUUUACACAUAAAAAUAGUUUCAAUUACAGGCAGCCCGGUAUCUAAGGGUUCCAUGUCCACAGAUACAGAGGGAAGGCCACUGAAAGGCACUUUAGCAUCCUUGGAUUUGGGUACCCCAGGGGGUCCUGGACCCAAUCCCCCAAGUUAUUUCCUGGUAAAUUUCACAGUGUCAGGAGAAGUAAAAGCUGUUUUU
rnacentral:lncRNA from 1 species